UUAGCUCAUAUUUGUAUGGAAUGGGAUCGUUUGCCUACGUUUGCCGCUAGGGGCGCUGUUCCAACUGCAUACAAAAUUGGGUUU
rnacentral:pre_miRNA from 1 species